AGUUGUCCCAAUGAUUCCAGUGGGGAGAGUAUGGUAAGUUUUCUUUGAAGUGACAACAGUUCGGAUUCCGCGUCCUUGAGUUUCUGAGAUAAAAAGUUGCAGGGCCACGAUACUGGAGAUUCGUUCGGAAUGGGCAACCCCAUUUUUUUUAUUUUUUCAAUAU
rnacentral:sRNA from 1 species